UUCUGUAUGCAUGUCAAAGAUUAGAGACGAGGAAGGUGAAUCAAGGUUGUUUCCAACCUGAGGCUGAGAAGAAUGGAAGCCUUGGAAGGUGCCCGCCUCGUCGGGGGUUGUGGCCACAACUGCCUUAAUCAAUGUUGCAUUCCAGGUGCAAAACUUCCAUUGUAUGCCUUCAAGAAACUGAACGUGAAUGAUGGUGACACGGGUUUGCUCGGACAUGAGAAAAGAGUCUCCCGUUGCAUUUCUUGACACACUGCUUCUCAAGGAUGUAAAUUGAUAUACAGGAGAUGAAGAAAGAAUCACCAGCUUUGUUUGUUUCCUUUUGUAGUUAACAAUUAUUAUGGAAUAAAAUUGUUUACCACUCCAUGGUACAGUGGGAGGAUCGCAUGCAGAGAUGGCUAUUUCGCUAUGAUGUCGAGCUUAGGAACAAUGUGUAUGUAUAUGUACUACUUAUUUGGGAUAUGGGUACCAAUUUCUUUGAUAAUUUGGUGUAGGUGAUCCCAGGGCAAUUUGGUUUCAUAGCUGAGCUGAAUGAGGGUCGCCAUUUUAAGAAGAGGCCAACAGAGUUUCGAGUUGAUAAGGUUCUCCAGCCCUUUGAUGGCAGCAAGUUUAACUUCACUAAAGUUGAACAAGAGAAGGUUCUGUUCCAGUUGAAGCCAGCGAUGAUGGUGAAGCUCAGCUAGUCACUAAGGGUACAGUUGAUGAAAACGCCUACGAGAUUGGGGAAAGGAAGUAGUGCUAGAUGUUGAAGCCCUGGAAGCUGGCUUGGAGAUGGAUAAUAAAGGUGACACAUCCACCAUGGGAGAGAUAUUAUCGAAACUUUUGCUUGUUAAAGAUUUUAGAAAACUUACAGUCGAUCUGCUGGUAGAGAAACUGUAACUGGAAACUUUUGUAAUUUAGUUUUUGUAUUUUUCUAGUCACCCAAUAGCCUGAUGUAUCAAACCUAGAAGAUUACUUCUUGUAGUUUUUUCUUUUUUGUUCGGACAUCUUGUAUGUAUAUUUUCAUAUAUUUUAUAAUUAAAUAUUUUUUCUU